rnacentral:lncRNA from 1 species
GGUACGUGAUCCUGCCUAAUUCUGAGACUUGCCCUACAGAUGGAAGACAGGUUCUUCAAUAUCUCCUAUACCAGUAAUAAAGAAUCUUCCUUGCAAGCCUAUCACUGGGAACAGAAAGUGCAUAUGCGACCAGUAGGAGGCAAGCACAUGGAGCCCAGAGAAUUCCUCUCACUGAAUUAUUAUCUUAGAAAAGGUCCUACUUUACACAAGAUCAGAGUCCAACUCUCCGAAAGCCAGGUUUGGAUUCACAGAAAGUGGAAGCAUCAGGACAAAAAUAGCUGGCUGAACCCCAUAUUCAAAGCCAUGUGAGGACUGCCGUGGAUGGGCUCAUCAGCUCCACGAAGCUACGUCCUGGAAGAAAAGAGCUCUCCUAUCAAGGACCAACUACAGGGUCUGCAGAUCCCCCACCGGGCUGUGCUGAAGCUGCGAGGAGGAGAGACCUACAGGCAGAAAGAGAAGCCUGCACUGUCCCCGCUGGGCUGGCUUGUGGUAGUGAGACUUUCAGCUGUCUGGAGUAAAGGGGCAAUCAGUAGGAAAAGACAGACUAAUUCUCAUAGUCCCUGCCUUUGACUGGUUCCUGUGAGGAGACAAACUGAAAACAGUGGGAAAUUUAAAUACCAGAUUGAAUGAGACUGGAAAGUAAGAACAGGAGUGUUGGAAACCAGAAUUUGUUGGAGCCUCUGGCAGCCUACAG